GAUGAACGCUAGCGGCAGGCCUAAUACAUGCAAGCUGAACGGCAAGUUGAAUAGCAAUAUUUGACCUAGAGUAGCGUAAGGGUGCGUAACACGUAUGCAAUCUGCCCGCAACAGGAGGAUAGCUUGAUGAAAGUUGAGAUAAGACUCCAUAAGAUCACAGGAGGGCAUCUGAUAGUGAUUAAACUACAAGGGGUUGCGGAUGAGCAUGCGCAUGAUUAGUUAGUUGGCGGGUAACGCCACAAGACAAUGAUCAUUAGGGGAACUGAGAGGUUGGUCCCCCACACUGGCACUGAGAUACGGGCCAGACUCCUACGGGAGGCAGCAGUAGGGAAUAUUGGGCAAUGGAGGCAACUCUGACCCACGCAUGCCGCGUGGGUGACGAAGGUC
rnacentral:rRNA from 1 species